GUAGAAAUCAAUUGGUAUAACUUUGGAUUGGAAACCUCUUUGAGAAGAGCAUGUUCUGCUCUCAUAGCUAUGCCAGCAACAUGAGCUGAAUCUGUGACCAGAUUAAAAGGUUCAUUUUUGAAUUUCUCAAAGGCUCUGACAACAGCUGCUAACUCUGCAAUCUGUGGAGAUCCCUCCACUAUUUCUAUGUCAGAUUCCCAGUUUUGGGUCUUAGGGUCUUUCCCGGUCCUUACCGACUUGUGGGAUGACCCUGAGCCAUCUGUAAAGAUGGUUAGAUCUUUGAGAGGUGUUCUACUUUGGAUUAAUUUUGGGGUCAGAUGAAAUGUUACAUCACUAUUAAAAAGCUUAUGUUUUGGGAUAUGUACUGAAAUUUGGCCUGUAUAGCUGUCUAAGGCAUACUGGAGAUUUUCAUUGGUCUGGAGCAAAUGUUCCACGUCCCCAGUGGUCACUGGCAAAUAUAUGCAUGUAAACUCACACCCUGCAGGGGAGCGGAGGCGAGUUCUAGCCUUUUUAUUAAAUGUGCCAUAAUUUUUUGGAAGGUAGUAAUUGUCUUUGUGGGUUGGUUAUUUGUAAAGAUCCAUUCCAGUAUUAGUAAAGGGUCUCGAAGUUGAGUGUCCCAUUGGAAGAUCAGUCCAUAGAACCAAGGUGCUUUUCCCAGAAUGAUGAACUGGAAAGGCAGGCUGGGCUCAAAGCGAUGGGCUUUGCGUGAAGACAGGGGUUCCUGGACCUUGGUGAUGGCAUCUCGGGCUUCUGCUGUAAGAGUGCAUGGAGAGUCCAGAUCCUCCUUGCCCCGAAGAAGGUUGAACAGUGGAGCGAGGUCCUCUGUUGUAAUUCCUAGCAGUGGAUGUACCCAGCUGAUGGAUCCGCACAGGCUGUGUAAGUCUCUCAGGCUUUUUGGGUCGUCUCAGAUGGCGAGCUGCUGGGGUACGAUGGUCCUUUCCCGGAUCUGGAGUCCAAGGUAAGUCCAUGGGUUGGUGUACUGUAUUUUGUCCUCACGGAUCUCGAAUCCUGCCUUAUCUAUGGUUUCAAUAGUCCUUUUAACUGCUUUGUCCAAGUACGUCUUUUCUGGUGCACAGACCAGGAUAUCGUCCAUAUAGUGAUGGAUGAUUGCAUCUGGGAAUAGGUUCCGAACAGGAGACAGGAUGUGAGCAACAUACCACUGGCAUAGAGUGGGACUGCAUUGAAGUCCCUGAGGAAGAUACAGCCAAUGAUAUCUUUUGAGUGGAGCCUCUCUGUUAAGAGAGGGAACGGAGAAAGCAAACCGUGGGGUGUCCUGGGGAUGCAGCGGGAUGCUGAAGAAACAGUCUUUAAUAUCAAUGAUAGCAAGUGUCCAGUCUCUAGGCAGCAUGGAUGGUGAGGGCAGGCCAGGCUGGAGGGCACCCAUGUCCUCGAUGACCUCGUUGAUUUUGCGAAGAUCGUGGAGGAGUCUCCAUCUGUCUGUUCCAGGCUUUUGUAGUACGAAGACUGGAGAAUUCCAAGGGCUGGUGGUCUCUACGAUGUGGCCUUUGGCGAGCUGUUCGUCCACAAGGGCAUGCAGUGCACGCAGUUUGACUUUAGAGAGGUGCCACUGCUCGAUCCAGAUCGGGUUAUGGCAUUUCCAGGUGAGAUGAGGAGUGUCUGGCAGUGCGCGCUCCUCAGUGGCCCCAGUUAGAAAUCCGGACUGGGAAUACGUAGGGAGGCACCCCACUGACAUAAAAUGUCCCGUCCAUACAAGGUGAUGGGGGCCCUUACCACAAACGGGCGGAUGGUUGCCGACUUGCCUUCAGGCCCUUCAACGAGGAUGUUGUUCUUGCUCCACAUGGAAACUGUAGCUCCACCGAUCCCUGUAAUCAUGCCUGCCACAGGUUGUAGCUCCCAGUGUGCUGGCCAUUCUGAGCGAGCGAUGAUGGUCACGUCUGACCCGGUGUCCAGCAUCCCUGAUAGGUGGAACUUCUCUCCUCUGCAGGUAUGACCGCACUCGAUGACAGGCUUACUUGGUCCCACAGCUUGUGUCCACAUUGCUGUGGGGUUGAGAGGAAGCUGUUCCCUGUUAUUCUUAGGGAGUAGAAAGGCCUGUGCGAAUGGAGUACCCUUUGGAAGAAAGUAAGGACAAUUGAAGAGCUUUUAUAUGAAAUGGAGACCCAGCCAUCUGAUUACAGCUGGUUUGGGAUGGGACCUAAGGACCAGGAAAAGCAGCAAAAAAAAGUAAGUGUGCUGGAAAUGGUUUCUGAAGGACUGUCAGCAAUUUGUUUUGAGGCUUUCUUGAAGCAUUACCAUGCUGAGUUCUGUCAUUGUGUGUAGAUCUGCACCUUGAAGAGUAACUUCAGCUCUCUGUAGAUCUGCACCUUGACUUUGGCCUGGAAGACUCCCACAUCUCCUAAAGACCCCUACCAAGAAAAUGCAUGAGCAGCUUCUAAUUUCCCUCUGGCCAGAUUUUACUAGGUGUUUUGGAGACAUCUAAUAAGCCCCAGCCAGAGAUUCUCAAACUCACUUGUGUCCCAAGCCAGUGAUUUUAUAGGCACUUUUUGUCAGACUCCAACCUACCUGUAGUGCUGCAGUUGUGAUUCCAGCUGCUGGAUGUGUAUUUGCAGAUGUGGCACCUCGUUAGCUCUCACUUCCAGCUCCUUCACUUUGCCAAGACUGUUCAGGACAGCCUGUCUGGCCUCUUCCACCUUCCUCCUCAUCUCUGCCUGCUCCCUCUUCAGGUGAUGGUUGCAAUCUUCCAGGCUGACCAGAGCUUCCUGAGAGCUCUUCAGCUCCUUCUCCAGCUCCUGACUGAACCUGAUGGCUUCUUCAACCUGCCCAUCCCUGGAGCUCUAGAUGAGCUCCAUUUUCUCCAGGACACUUUGGAAGUACUUGGACUGGGAGUGCUUCUGUGUUAAUGCUCUCUUCCUCCCUGUGAAGCAGGAUCCUAUGGCUGGCAUGGCUCUUCCGCAGUCCCACCUGUGAUGACCAGGAGCACAAAGCAGGGAGAAAUUGAUGGGGUUUACUGAAGACUGAAAGUGGCUGGACUGUGCUUUGUUUUUGUUUUGGUUUUUUUUUUUUUUGUUUUUUUUUUAAUCACAUAGAGUUGAUCAGCAACUAAAGCUACUUGACCUCUGCCAGAUACAGAGACAAGAAAGCAAUCUCUGGAAAGUAUUUUUUAAUACCUAGCUAUGCAUUUAAUUUUCACACUACACACUACCAUGUUAUUGCACAAGUUUCUGUAUAGCUUUAAUGUCAUUACUGUGGUCUUUACUCAGGAGUUAAGUAGUCUUCUGGAAAAUAUAUUUCCAGUGAAGUUAUGUUCAUGAGAAGAGAGCAGGGAGCAGCUGGGGGUGUUCUGGAGCUCUCCUCUUUGUCGUUUUCAUUAUUCCUGGGACCUCUGACUGGUGACUUGGUGUUUGCUGCUGAUUU